rnacentral:rRNA from 1 species
GCAGCAGUGGGGAAUAUUGGACAAUGGGCGAAAGCCUGAUCCAGCAAUGCCGCGUGAGUGAUGAAGGCCUUAGGGUUGUAAAGCUCUUUCGCACGCGACGAUGAUGACGGUAGCGUGAGAAGAAGCCCCGGCUAACUUCGUGCCAGCAGCCGCGGUAAUACGAAGGGGGCUAGCGUUGUUCGGAAUUACUGGGCGUAAAGGGCGCGUAGGCGGUUUAUCAAGUCAGGCGUGAAAGCCCCGGGCUCAACCUGGGAAUUGCGUUUGAUACUGGUAGACUUGAGUUCGGGAGAGGUGAGUGGAAUUCCCAGUGUAGAGGUGAAAUUCGUAGAUAUUGGGAAGAACACCGGUGGCGAAGGCGGCUCACUGGACCGAUACUGACGCUGAGGCGCGAAAGCGUGGGGAGCAAACAGGAUUAGAUACCCUGGUAGUCCACGCCGUAAACGAUGUGCGCUAGACGCUGGGAAACUUAGUUUUCCGGUGUCGCAGCUAACGCAUAAGCGCACCGC